CACGAGCUCAGGCAUUGUCCUAUGUGGCAUUACGUGGUUGGAGGUGGGAUUUCAAUUGAGGGCCUGGGCUCUCAUUGGCCACUUGCACCAGCUGGUGAUCCAUAAAAGUGCCGUCUCUUGGUCUGCCCCCUUUGACCUCACGCAUCUGCCCGCCUACCGGCGUCUCACUUCGUGUUCUUCGGUGCCUCGCGGCAGCACAGACAGUCGUUCAUUUAGACGCGGACCUACGCCUCUCGCGGCACGAUCGCUGGAGCUGGUGGUGGAGUCCAGUGGUGGUGGUCAUCUCCGUUUAGUUUGUGGUGCACUUCAUUUUUUUAGUUUGCUGUGUUGAGUUUUUGUGUUUUCCCUUAGUUUAAGGUUUCUACCCCCUCUGGUUCUCCCCCUCCCCAGUCACGGUUAAGCCCUAGCUCCUAGUCCUCUUUUUCACUGUGUGUGUGUGUGUGUGUGUGUGUGUGUGUGUGUGUGUGUGUGUGUGUGUGUGUGUGUGUGUGUGUGUGUGUGUGUGUGAGACAAGAAAAGUUGCUUCACUACUUUUAAGCAAUUCUUGGCCUU